GGGAAAGGUAGACAUUAAUCAAAUAAUCUGGUAGAUAAUGUAGGUUAAAAAUUGAGCAAGGUUAUCUUUAAAAAAAAAAAAGUCUUUAAAUUGCAGGCAUGGGUCUGAAGCUGAAAACUGUAACCAUGAUGAAGGCAAAGGAAAGAGCAGAGAGCUCGGUAGACAGAGGAAGGAGCCUGUCCUCAGACAGGCCCAAAAGUGAGUGUGUGUGGGAGUUUGUGCUAAUGUUCAGUAGGUGGAAGCUCAGGGAUUUCCACUGUAUUCUUAAGGUGAAGUCAGAGAUUUGAGAGAGGAUACCCACUUGAACCAUACAGCUGCCAUUUUGGGCUGCAACAACGAGGCCAGUGUAGAAGGAGAAUAAAGAAACUGGUGCAUUUGGAGUCAGACAAAAAGUUCAUUCAUGGCUCUUUCAGUCUGGAAGAUUCUGAAACUUUGGUAACAUAGUAAUUCCUAAAUAAGAAUAAGGCAAGUGGAUUUUAAUAAAGGGCAAUACCAGUGAUUUCAAAGAAAGAGAAAUACUGCAAGGUGCUGCAUCAUGAAAAGCAGUCCCAUGAAGAAAAAGAUUCUGUCAGAGCAUCCUUAUCAAAACCAGUCGUAAUUGCCAUUUCCUUGUAAAACAAAAGGCCCUGACUAAAGCCACUUAAAACAGAUGGAUUUCAACAGAGCUCGCUUAACUCUCCCUGUCAUGAAGUCAUGGGGGGAAAGGAUAAUAUUUUUUAAAAUCAUCCCUGUUUUUUUUUUCCUUUAUAUUCAUUCUCCAUUGUGAUUUUUAGCCCAGUCAUUAAACAAAACUCAAAUCCUGGGUUUGGUUCCAGAAAGGAUCUCAAGGCUAUUCCCUUUCUGAUCUCUGACUGACUGCCUCAACUGUGACGGCGAUGGUAAACGGGUCGGGAGAGGACUUGAAAGGGUAAAUUCACCUCUGUUUCAUGUUUUCAAAAGCUUUUUGCUCUCCUUGUUGAUAGAGCUUAUAAACUGCCAAACACACAAAAAAAAGUGGAAGUAUCUGUAACUCCUUACAAUAACACACCUUCAAGAGGGCUGUUUUGAGGCUCCCUUCUUUUUCUUUUAAUUUUUUCCCUUUCUUUUUGCUAUUGUCGCCCAGCUGCUUUUAUAAGAAAAAAGCAGGUCAGUGUGCUGGUUGCCAGGCUUCCCUCCUCUGUCCCUUCAUCUGAUUCCCUUGGUGAUGGUGACUUUUCUCCUUACUUUUUUUGGUCGGUGAUAGAAGAAGGAGGGGUACUUAAAGUGCUAAAACUUAAGCGAACAAUUCAUGCUCAGCAUCUCUCUCCUCCACCCUGUCACUAGGCUUGCUCUAGGCAUACAAUCAACCUUAAUAGAAAAAUACAUAUAUCAGUGAAAAAAAAUAAGCAUCAUUUCUGUGCUGAAAACAAGUCAGGGUUGGGGAUAUUAUCAGAAUUUUGCCUUAAGAAUGGCAGUUUCAGGUUCUUGGGUCUGACCCUUUAUAAAACCCUUUCACAUUUAAACCCUGUGCUACACAUAAAAUUUUAAUGAAAAGGCUUUCAGAAAUCUCAAAUUAUCAAUAUCAGCAACAAUCAUGGAAACUUUUUAUCCACAUUUUCAAGUAUAUACAAUCAAUAUAUAAAUUACAGUGUGAGGUUUCCAGUUUGUUCCUUCCUACCUUUCUUCCUCCCUCUUUUCCUUCCUUUCCUUCCUUCUUUCUUCCUUUCUUUUUUCUCCCUGUUAAUUUUUAGACACUAGGAUCCAUAGUGUAAAAAACUAAGAAAAUUGGAGAAAUUUUCAUCUUUACUUGGAAGUAAUUUUUUUUAUUUCUAAUGAUUAAAUAGAGUAUUGAUCCUGCCAGUUGCAUAAUUUAGAUUUGCUUUCAGAUUGAGAUAUAUAUAUAUAAAACAAUCAUAUAUAGUUAUAUAUGUAAUUGAUUCUAUUCUCCUUCUAUUGCCUUUCUACUUACUAUUUAUAUUGUGUCAAAUCACAUAUUCAAUCCAAGUAAGAAAAUUAACAUUUAGUGAAAUAAAUUAAGAAAAU
rnacentral:lncRNA from 1 species